rnacentral:rRNA from 1 species
CUGCUACCGCUGAUUGAGAAGCUCUCCCAUAAACUCGCCACCUGGAAAGCCACCCUUCUUAACCGCGACGAACGGCUAGCUCUGGUCUGGCAAGUUCUGAGCGCCAUGCCCGUCCACCUGCUCCUCGCCAUGGCCCUCUCCCCCGCCAUCCUCAAGUAGGCCAACAAAAUCCUCCGCAACUUCCUCUGGCAUGGACGGAAAGACACGCGCGCUGGCUCCUGUCUAGUCAGCUGGGCACGGGUCUGUCGCCCCCUCGACCUGGGUGGUCUUGGCAUCCGCGACCUUCACCGCACCGGCAUCUCUCUCCGGGUCCGGUGGUUAUGGCUCAAGGCCACUGAUCCCUCGCGCCCUUGGUCCCAUCUUUAG